CCAAAAUUGAAGGUAGAAAUAUCUACUAACAGCAGCAGGUAAUGUUGAGAAAAUACAUUGGGGUCAUAAUACGAUAUAACUUCUUAAAAAGAUUCAAACUUCCUCUUAUGGUUGAGGAGAGAACCAAAGUCCCUAAAUACACCAAUGAAAGGAACGUAAAGCUAAAAGGCUGACCCACCAGCCCACUGCUCUGUUAUUGGCAUUUGAUAGCAACAUGGGGCACACCCACCUUCAUUUUUUCUGAACCUCUAAGAAAAGCCAGCUCUCUUCAGGCUCAGAGGCAGUGUAACACUGCGAGCUCUCUUGUCUUUUUUCUCCACUUUCCUUCCAGCUUCCUCCACUGGUAGAGUAGAUAGCGUUCUCUACUAAGUCCCUGGUAGCUGCUGCUACCAGAAAUGCUAGUCUGUUCAUUCAGCCACUCUGCCCCAUGGAGAGCUUUAAGCUAAUUGUAUUCUAGCCUCAGUUGUCUUAACUGCACAAUUAAAAACAUUUUCAAAGCCCUGUGAUCUAAGUCCCUAAUCAUUAUUUCCUAUUCUUCCAGUUCAACUUUGUCCACCAAGUUUGAUAAUUUUUCAGGAACCCCAAUCCAUCACUGCCUUUGACUUUGCUUCCUAUCUUGGCCAGCAUUAACCUCUUUUCCUCUUUUGAACUAACUUGGCAAAACCUUAAAUAUGAUUAACUCCAACUGCCCACUGAUUGUACACCUAGACUGAAGUAGCUGUUGGAACUGGAUGAAAUCACCUCUCUUACCGACCAGUCAUGACUGGAAAUCUCAAAUGAGAUUCACUACUUUCCAAAGUUCCAGGCAUAUUUCUUUAUUUUUGCACUCUGACACAAGUCUCACCCCACUGUUUAAAUCUCCCACACUCCUCCCCUGUCACUUGCCUGAUCAUUGAGAAAAUAGAUGCAGAUGUAGGCAGGCCCUCAACUUCCACCAACCCAUAUGCCUGCUGGAUACACAUUACAUGGACUUGCACUUAGAAAUUUCCCUGCAUGUAUACAAAGCUUUUUCUGGGUAGCUGGACCCCUAGACUUGAAUCAAAUGAAUGGAAAAAUUGUAGAUGGUGGAGGUAGGUCUUAUUUCUAAGGUGACCACCAGUUUCUCUGAUCUUUGGCUCAAACAUUUCAUUAUCUCCAGUCAGAAUGGCCUGACUUAGGACAUAAAACGCACACACACACACAAAAUCUAUUUUGCCAGCUUAUCACAAGACUUGGAGCCCCUUGAGGAAAGGAAAAGUUUGGCCUAUUCACUUUUGUCAUGCUUUCACUAGCACCCAGUUCUUGAAAGGCACUCACAAAGCUUUUGGGUAUCUGGUUUGGAAUAUAUGAAAUCUUUUUUCCGCUUCCCUAAAUCUCAUUUGUUCUGAAAAAUCCAGGAUUUGUCAUCACUGAGAAAUGUUAAGUGAUGUACCACUGGGCAUGCUGGCACACACCUGUAAUCCCAAUGACUUGGGAGGCUGAGACAGGAGGAUCACAAGUUUGAGGCCCACUUUAGCAACUUAUCAGGACCCUGCUCAACUUAGACCUUGUCUCAAAAUUAAAAAGAGAUAAGGAUGUGGUUCAGUGGUUAAGC
rnacentral:lncRNA from 1 species